rnacentral:rRNA from 1 species
ACAAGCGGCGGAGCAUGCGGAUUAAUUCGAUGCAACGCGAAGAACCUUACCAAGGCUUGACAUACACCGGUAACGCCCAGAGAUGGGUGCCCCUUUGUGGUCGGUGGACAGGUGGUGCAUGGUUGUCGUCAGCUCGUGUCGUGAGAUGUUGGGUUAAGUCCCGCAACGAGCGCAACCCUCGUCCUAUGUUGCCAGCGGGUCAUGCCGGGGACUCAUGGGAGACUGCCGGGGUCAACUCGGAGGAAGGUGGGGAUGACGUCAAAUCAUCAUGCCCCUUAUGUCUUGGGCUUCACGCAUGCUACAAUGGCCGGUACAAAGGGCUGCGAUACCGCGAGGUGGAGCGAAUCCCAGAAAGCCGGUCUCAGUUCGGAUUGGGGUCUGCAACUCGACCCCAUGAAGUCGGAGUCGCUAGUAAUCGCAGAUCAGCACGCCGCGGUGAAUACGUUCCCGGGCCUU